rnacentral:rRNA from 1 species
UACGUAGGGUGCGAGCGUUGUCCGGAAUUAUUGGGCGUAAAGAGCUCGUAGGCGGUGUGUCGCGUCGGCCGUGAAAACCUGGGGCUUAACUCUGGGCGUGCGGUCGAUACGGGCAUCACUGGAGUUCGGCAGGGGAGACUGGAAUUCCUGGUGUAGCGGUGAAAUGCGCAGAUAUCAGGAGGAACACCGGUGGCGAAGGCGGCUCUCUGGGACGGUACUGGACGCUGAGACGCGAAAGCCGUGGGGAGCGAACAGG